GACGAGGGAUCCUAGCGUUGUUCGGAAUCAUUGGGCGUAAAGCGGGUGUAGGCGGUCUUAUAAGUCAGGUGUGAAAUCCCAGGGCUCAACCCUGGAAGUGCACUUGAUACUGUAAGACUUGAGUGUGGUAGAGGCUACUAGAAUUCCUGGUGUAGUGGUAAAAUACGUAGAUAUCAGGAGGAAUACCGGAGGCGAAGGCGGGUAGCUGGGCUAACACUGACGCUGAGACCCGAAAGCGUGGGGAUCAAACAGG
rnacentral:rRNA from 1 species